rnacentral:rRNA from 1 species
UCCCUACGGGGUGCAGCAGGCGCGAAACAUUCGCAAUGCGCGCAAGCGCGACGAGGGGAACUCGAGUGCCAUUGCCAUUUGGGAUGGCUUUUCUUGACCCUAAAAAGAUCAGGGAAUAAAAGCUGGGUAAGACGGGUCCAGCCGCCGCGGUAAUACCCGCAGCUCGAGUGGUGGCCACUAUUAUUGAGCCUAAAGCGUCCGUAGCCGGUCUUGUAAAUCUCUGGGUAAAUCCUGCCGCUUAACGGUGGGAAUGCUGGAGAGACUGCAAGACUGGGGAUCGGGUGAAGCGAGAGGUACUCCUGGGGUAGGGGUAAAAUCCUGUAAUCCUGGGGGGACGACCGGUGGCGAAAGCGUCUCGCUAGAACGACUCCGACGGUGAGGGACGAAGGCUAGGGGAGCAAACCGGAUUAGAUACCCGGGUAGUCCUAGCUGUAAACGCUGCAGCACCUUGGUGUUGCCCCUUCUUUGGGAAAGGGCAGUCCCGGAGGAA